AGUGAACGCUGGCGGUAGGCCUAACACAUGCAAGUCGAACGGCAGCACAGUAAGAGCUUGCUCUUACGGGUGGCGAGUGGCGGACGGGUGAGGAAUACAUCGGAAUCUACUUUUUCGUGGGGGAUAACGUAGGGAAACUUACGCUAAUACCGCAUACGACCUACGGGUGAAAGCAGGGGAUCUUCGGACCUUGCGCGAUUGAAUGAGCCGAUGUCGGAUUAGCUAGUUGGCGGGGUAAAGGCCCACCAAGGCGACGAUCCGUAGCUGGUCUGAGAGGAUGAUCAGCCACACUGGAACUGAGACACGGUCCAGACCCCUACGGGAGGCAGCAGUGGGGAAUAUUGGACAAUGGGCGCAAGCCUGAUCCAGCCAUACCGCGUGGGUGAAGAAGGCCUUCGGGUUGUAAAGCCCUUUUGUUGGGAAAGAAAAGCAGCAGGUUAAUCCGCCGCUGUUCUGACGGUACCCAAAGAAUAAGCACCGGCUAACUUCGUG
rnacentral:rRNA from 1 species